UCGUCCAAUAGAUGUAUUAGCCGUGCUUCUUAAUUAUAUACAGGUUAAAUGGUUCCGUGUGCCUGAAAACUAAUACGAAUCCUGAAGUCAUCGUGCUUCCGAGCAAAACUGCGAAACUGCCGGGAGAACUAUUGAACGGAACAAAACUCUGCGUGAAGCACUUCUCUACAUAUAAGAACGUCACCUACGUUAAGCGUGAUUCUGACCUGCGUAGAUGCAAGUUACGGUGUCAGUUGGGACCCCGAAUUCAAAGACUCAAAGACGCCCUCGACGGGACUCCUUGCGACAGUACUCACCCGCAAAUGAAAUGCAAGGAAGGAGUCUGCAAGCAAUGGUGACAGACGACUGCCUUAAGUGGUGUAAUUCUGGUGC
rnacentral:lncRNA from 1 species